rnacentral:sRNA from 1 species
GCAGAAGCAACCACACAUCUGUCAUCAUUGUUAAAUGCAACCCGUGGACUUGCCCUAACCAAAAAACUUGGGCUUUGUUUGAAAACUUUUACCGCCGCAAGGAACCCAAAGUUAUUUAACUUUUAUUCCAAUGGUCCCUUCCUAGGCUUAUACACUUAAACAAACUACAAAUGAGCAUUAAUUAAAUGUUAAAGAGACUUAUUAAAAUAUUUAGAUAAACACAAAGCCGUUUGGUUUUUUGUUAAUGUAAAUACAAUUAUGGUUUAUCAUUCCUUUACCAUUUAAUAAUGAUCAUUAAAAUCAGUAAACAAUAAAUUGUGUGUCUGUGUUAUUUCUCAUUUUGUUCCUUGUUGUUAUCAGUGUUUUAAUUAUUUUCCUCUGUGACAUCAAUUUUGUCUUUAAUCUUUUUAAUUUUUGUACGCUAUAUAAGCGUUGUAGACAUGUGCCCUCACCCUUUUUUAGUGUGUUAUCCAAUAUUAUUUAAAGGUUUGACCACAUAUGCAACUAUAACAAAUACAUGUAGAUAUUUU